GGAAUAUUGGACAAUGGGCGAAAGCCUGAUCCAGCAACGCCGCGUGGAGGAAGAAGGCCUUCGGGUCGUAAACUCCUGUCAGGUGGGACGAAACCGCGGGGGUCAAUAGCCCCUGCGGUUGACGGUACCACCAGAGGAAGCCCCGGCUAACUCCGUGCCAGCAGCCGCGGUAAUACGGAGGGGGCAAGCGUUUUUCGGAAUGAUUGGGCGAAAAGGGCGGGCAGGCGGCCUGGCAAGGCUCGGGUGAAAUCCCUCGGCUCAACCGAGGAAUUGCCCUGGAUACUGCCAGGCUCGAGGCCGGGAGGGGGUAGCGGAAUUCCCAGUGUAGCGGUGAAAUGCGUAGAUAUUGGGAGGAACACCAGUGGCGAAGGCGGCUACCUGGACCGGUUCUGACGCUGAGGCGCGAAAGCGUGGGGAGCAAAC
rnacentral:rRNA from 1 species